rnacentral:rRNA from 1 species
AGGACGAACGCUGGCGGCGUGCUUAACACACGCAAGUCGAACGGUGAACUCCGCUUGCGGGGGAUCAGUGGCGAACGGGUGAGUAACACGUGGGCAACCUGCCCUCAGCUCUGGGAUAACUCCAAGAAAUUGGGGCUAAUACCGGAUAUGACUGCUGACCGCAUGGUCUGGUGGUGGAAAGAUUUAUCGGCUGGGGAUGGGCCCGCGGCCUAUCAGCUUGUUGGUGGGGUGAUGGCCUACCAAGGCGACGACGGGUAGCCGG